AGAAAAGUAAGCUAAACUAAGCUAAUGGGUUCAUACCCCAUAAAUAGAGAACAAAUCUCUCUUCUCUG
rnacentral:tRNA from 1 species